rnacentral:rRNA from 1 species
CGGCGUGCCUAAUACAUGCAAGUCGAGCGAUGAUUAAAGAUAGCUUGCUAUUUUUAUGAAGAGCGGCGAACGGGUGAGUAACGCGUGGGAAAUCUGCCGAGUAGCGGGGGACAACGUUUGGAAACGAACGCUAAUACCGCAUAACAAUGAGAAUCGCAUGAUUCUUAUUUGAAAGAAGCAAUUGCUUCACUACUUGAUGAUCCCGCGUUGUAUUAGCUAGUUGGUAGUGUAAAGGACUACCAAGGCGAUGAUACAUAGCCGACCUGAGAGGGUGAUCGGCCACACUGGGACUGAGACACGGCCCAGACUCCUACGGGAGGCAGCAGUAGGGAAUCUUCGGCAAUGGGGGCAACCCUGACCGAGCAACGCCGCGUGAGUGAAGAAGGUUUUCGGAUCGUAAAACUCUGUUGUUAGAGAAGAACGUUAAGUAGAGUGGAAAAUUACUUAAGUGACGGUAUCUAACCAGAAAGGGACGGCUAACUACGUGCCAGCAGCCGCGGUAAUACGUAGGUCCCAAGCGUUGUCCGGAUUUAUUGGGCGUAAAGCGAGCGCAGGUGGUUUCUUAAGUCUGAUGUAAAAGGCAGUGGCUCAACCAUUGUGUGCAUUGGAAACUGGGAGACUUGAGUGCAGGAGAGGAGAGUGGAAUUCCAUGUGUAGCGGUGAAAUGCGUAGAUAUAUGGAGGAACACCGGAGGCGAAAGCGGCUCUCUGGCCUGUAACUGACACUGAGGCUCGAAAGCGUGGGGAGCAACAGGAUUAGAUACCCUGGUAGUCCACGCCGUACGAUGAGUGCUAGCUGUAGGGAGCUAUAAGUUCUCUGUAGCGCAGCUAACGCAUUAAGCACUCCGCCUGGGGAGUACGACCGCAAGGUUGAAACUCAAAGGAAUUGACGGGGGCCCGCACAAGCGGUGGA